rnacentral:rRNA from 1 species
GAUGAACGCUAGCGGGAGGCUUAACACAUGCAAGUCGUGGGGCAGCAUUAGGUAGCAAUACUUAGAUGGCGACCGGCGCACGGGUGAGUAACGCGUAUGCAACCUACCCAGUACAGGGGGAUAGCCCGGAGAAAUUCGAUUAAUACCCCAUAAUGAUAUAGAGAGGCAUCUUUUUAUAUUUAAAGCUUCGGCGGUACUGGAUGGGCAUGCGUAAGAUUAGCUAGUUGGUAGGGUAACGGCCUACCAAGGCUCCGAUCUUUAGGGGUCCUGAGAGGGUGAUCCCCCACACUGGUACUGAGACACGGACCAGACUCCUACGGGAGGCAGCAGUGAGGAAUAUUGGUCAAUGGGCGCAAGCCUGAACCAGCCAUCCCGCGUGAAGGAAGAAGGCGCUAUGCGUUGUAAACUUCUUUUCCGGAGGAAUAAAAUCUUGUACGUGUACAGGACUGAAGGUACUCCGGGAAUAAGCAUCGGCUAACUCCGUGCCAGCAGCCGCCGUAAGAC